AUUGAACGCUGGCGGCAGGCUUAACACAUGCAAGUCGAGCGGGGUGAUGGUGCUUGCACUAUCACUUAGCGGCGGACGGGUGAGUAAUGCUUAGGAAUCUGCCUAUUAGUGGGGGACAACAUCUCGAAAGGGAUGCUAAUACCUCAUACGUCCUACGGGAGAAAGCAGGGGAUCACUUGUGACCUUGCGCUAAUAGAUGAGCCUAAGUCGGACUAGCUAGUUGGUGGGGUAAAGGCCUACCAAGGCGACGAUCUGUAGCGGGUCAGAGAGGAUGGUCCGCCACACUGGAGCUGAGACACGGCCCAGACUCCUACGGGAGGGAGCAGUGGGGAAUAUUGGACAAUGGGGGGAACCCUGAUCCAGCCAUGCCGCGUCUGUGAAGAAGGCCUUAUGGUUGUAAAGCACUUUAAGCGAGGAGGAGGCUCUUUUGGUUAAUACCCAAGAUGAGUGGACGUUACUCGCAGAAUAAGCACCGGCUAACUCUGUGCCAGCAGCCGCGGUAA
rnacentral:rRNA from 1 species